UAUCCCCUUAAAAGAGCAAAAAUAUAAUUAGACUUUCACCAUUGUUAUCACCAUCAUCACCAUACACCAUUCAUUCGCCACACAUGCACAUCUUGAUUUGACUUAUUGACUUGUUUCUCUGGAUCCGUGGUUUGACUAUGCAAUAAAUGUGUUGUAAGUAUGUAUUAGCUGUCUCCCACCUAUGAGCUCCAGAUAUCAAAACCUUAUUAGAGUAGGGUGAGAGAGAAGGCAAUAUCACUAUGCCUCAUACCACAAAUACUACAUACUUUGAGAGAAGGCAUAUAUCAUUACUGCCCUGGUAAGGAUCCAGAAAUACCACAAAAGAGAGAUUUGAGAGAGUCAUAUAAGGAAUCUCUGAGUUUUAUUUGAAAAUCUGCAAAAACUC
rnacentral:lncRNA from 1 species